rnacentral:rRNA from 1 species
CCCUUAGAUGUUCUGGGCCGCACGCGCGCUACACUGACGAAUGCAACGAGCUUAUAACCUUGGCCGAAAGGUCUGGGUAAUCUCCAAAUUUCGUCGUGAUGGGGAUAGAUUAUUGCAAUUAUUAAUCUUCAACGAGGAAUGCCCAGUAAGCGCAAGUCAUAAGCUUGCGUUGAUUACGUCCCUGCCCUUUGUACACACCGCCCGUCGCUACUACCGAUUGAACGUUUUAGUGAGGUAUUUGGACUGGACCUUCGGAGGUUCGCGCCUCCGUUGCUGUUCGGGAAGACUCCCAAACUUGAGCGUUUAGAGGAAGUAAAAGUCGUAACA